AGAGCUAAAAAAACUAAACUUCUAACUUAGUAAAACGACAUACGGUCGAAUGCUCUU
rnacentral:tRNA from 1 species